rnacentral:rRNA from 1 species
UACGAAGGGGGCUAGCGUUGCUCGGAAUCACUGGGCGUAAAGCGCACGUAGGCGGACUCUUAAGUCGGUGGUGAAAUCCUGGAGCUCAACUCCAGAACUGCCUUCGAUACUGGGAGUCUCGAGUUCGGGAGAGGUGAGUGGAACUGCGAGUGUAGAGGUGAAAUUCGUAGAUAUUCGCAAGAACACCAGUGGCGAAGGCGGCUCACUGGCCCGAUACUGACGCUGAUGCACGAAAGCGUGGGGAGCGAACGGG